rnacentral:tRNA from 1 species
GGAAGGGUGGUCGAGUGGUUUAAGGCACCUGUCUUGAAAACAGGCGACGGGCAACUGUCCAGGGGUUCGAAUCCCCUCCCUUCCUCCA